UACGUAGGGUGCGAGCGUUGUCCGGAAUUAUUGGGCGUAAAGAGCUCGUAGGCGGUCUGUCACGUCGGGAGUGAAAACUCAGGGCUUAACCCUGAGCCUGCUUCCGAUACGGGCAGACUAGAGGUAUGCAGGGGAGAACGGAAUUCCUGGUGUAGCGGUGAAAUGCGUAGAUAUCUGGAGGAACACCGGUGGCGAAGGCGGCAUCCUGGACCAAUAUUGACGCUGAGGAGCGAAAGCCAGGGGAGCAAACGGG
rnacentral:rRNA from 1 species